GACGAGCCUCACGAACGUUAUUCGGAAUUACUGGGCUUAAAGGGUGCGUAGGCGGCCCGUUAAGUCAGUGGUGAAAUCCCAGGGCUCAACCCUGGAACUGCCAUUGAUACUGACGGGCUUGAGUUCGGUUAAGGCGGGCGGAACUGGUGGUGUAGCGGUGAAAUGCAUAGAUACCACCAAGAACCCCGAUUGCGUAGGCAGCUCGCUGAGCCGAAACUGACGCUGAGGCACGAAAGCGUGGGGAGCGAACAGG
rnacentral:rRNA from 1 species